AUGCAUACUAGCUACGGCCCUGUUCAUAACUUAUAUAGUGAAGAAGCACAAAAAACUUUCUUCAGUAGAAGAGAUAGCGAAACUGUUCUGCUAAUUCUGUGUGCCUUAUUUUAAUGUUUGAAAUUAAUAAAAGGUUGCUUUAUUGCUUGUGUUUGAUUUUAAAUUAGGUUAUAAGUAGGCAAGUGCCAUUUCGUUUUUGUUUCUGCCCUUUUUUAAAAAAUAUGCCUUUCUGAUAGCAAAACGCACCCCUCGCCCUCAGCAAUUUCCGGCAUCCCAGAGUAUUUCUGUAUAGUUUUGGUCAGUUUUGCGGUUAAAUCCACAUAUUUUUUUCAGUUUUUUUUAAAUCCACAUAAUUUUUUUGGCCUAACGACGACCUAACUCACGAUCUAUAAUCUAAUAACAGAAAUUAAUAAACCUUAUGGAGUUAUGGGACGCGGCAAAGACAUGUUUUUAACCGUAUUUUUUCCAUGCGGUAUUUACAAUUUUUUUUUGCGGUGAUGCGGUGUCCUCGAACGCAUUUGUACGGUGUUGCGGUGUUGCGGAACCCCCAAUGACCCAACUGGGCUGUCUUAGAAUUCAUGAAAGACCUUUGCUACAACCCCAAGAAAACAUGCCUUUUAUCAGGAGAUCAAUUAAAUUCUCUGCUUCAACCAGAU